rnacentral:lncRNA from 1 species
GCUGGUCACCAUCACGGUUAGCGUUCGAGGAUUCCACUUCCCCAUCACUCUCCUGAUGUUCCUGACCAUCCCGUUGCGUCCCCGUAAGGUUCGCCUGAUUAGUUGGCAACACAACUCUAUUGUCAGCCGCGGCCGGAUCGGUUUGCAAUCCGGACUGAUUGGUUCCGUCCAUGGCCACUUGACUAGACUGACCGGCCGUUUUCUUACUCCUUCGGGACUUUCCCGAUUUGCUUUUUCCAGCCUAAGGAUUCAGACAACGUUAGUACGAAACAUACUAAACAUAAACAGAACAAAACAAUCCCUAGACUAAGCAAUCAAACCUCACCGUGAGACCUAAUCAGUUGUCUGUGUGUGUGUGUGUGUGUGUGUGUGUGUGUGUGUGUGUGUGUGGACUACAUAACCCAACUAUCCUAGAAUCA